rnacentral:misc_RNA from 1 species
GAUGAAGAACGUAGCGAAAUGCGAUAUGUAGUGUGAAUUGCAGAAUUCAGUGAAUCAUCGAAUCUUUGAACGCACAUUGCGCUCUCUGGUAUUCCGGAGAGCAUGCUCGUUUCAGAAUCAUAAAAACCUCUCAAAGGACUGUUUGUGUGCGCAAGCGUACUGCAGUUCUUUGGAUGUGGACCUCUUUGUUUUCCGAAAGGCAAAACAGGGAUCCGAAAAUGAUUGUGUACGCCGUGGUAUCAAGUAUUGACCGGCUCAAGUGCAACAGAAUAUGUUUCACUCUUGGGUGUGGUUUAGUACAAGGUCCGCAAUAGCGUGCAUUCUUACCAUCUUUAUCCUUGCUCUGUCUCUACUUGGGACAGCGUAAAGAAAACUUGGUCUGAAAUCGAGUAGGAAAACCCGCUGAACUUAAGCAUAUCAAUAAGCGGAGGA